rnacentral:rRNA from 1 species
AUUGAACGCUGGCGGCAGGCUUAACACAUGCAAGUCGAGCGGAGUGAUGGCGCUUGCACUAUCACUUAGCGGCGGACGGGUGAGUAAUGCUUAGGAAUCUGCCUAUUAGUGGGGGACAACAUCUCGAAAGGGAUGCUGAUACCGCAUACGUUCUACGGGAGAAAGCAGGGGAUCACUUGUGACCUUGCGCUAAUAGAUGAGCCUAAGUCGGAUUAGCUAGUUGGUGGGGUAAAGGCCUACCAAGGCGACGAUCUGUAGCGGGUCUGAGAGGAUGGUCCGCCACACUGGGACUGAGACACGGCCCAGUCGCCUACGGGAGGCAGCAGUGGGGAAUAUUGGACAAGGGGGGGAACCCUGAUCCAGCCAUGCCGCGUGUGUGAAGAACGCCUUAUGGUUGUAAAGCACUUUAAGCGAGGAGGAGGCUCUUUUGGUUAAUACCCAGGAUGAGUGGACGUUACUCGCAGAAUAAGCACCGGCUAACUCUGUGCCAGCCGCCGCCAGUAACAC